UACGUAGGGUGCGAGCGUUGUCCGGAAUUACUGGGCGUAAAGAGCUCGUAGGCGGUUUGUCGCGUCUGCCGUGAAAGUCCGGGGCUCAACUCCGGAUCUGCGGUGGGUACGGGCAGACUAGAGUGAUGUAGGGGAGACUGGAAUUCCUGGUGUAGCGGUGAAAUGCGCAGAUAUCAGGAGGAACACCGAUGGCGAAGGCAGGUCUCUGGGCAUUAACUGACGCUGAGACGCGAAAGCGUGGGGAGCAAACAGG
rnacentral:rRNA from 1 species